rnacentral:rRNA from 1 species
UACGUAGGGUGCAAGCGUUGUCCGGAAUCAUUGGGCGUAAAGCGCGCGUAGGUGGCCAUUUAAGUCCGCUGUGAAAGUCAAAGGCUCAACCUUUGAAAGCCGGUGGAUACUGGAUGGCUAGAGUACGGAAGAGGCGAGUGGAAUUCCUGGUGUAGCGGUGGAAUGCGCAGAUAUCAAGGAGGAACACCAAUAGCGAAGGCAGACUCGCUGGGACGUACUGACACUGAGGCGCGAAAGCGUGGGGAGC